CCCUGGUUAGCUCAGUUGGUAGAGCGCUCCACCUGUAAUGGAGAGGUCCCGGGUUCGAUCCCCGGACCAGGCG
rnacentral:tRNA from 2 species